GAUGAACGCUGGCGGCGUGCCUAAUACAUGCAAGUCGAGCGAACAGACUAGGAUCUUUCUCCUCUGACGUUAGCGGCGGACGGGUGAGUAACACUUGUAUAACCUACCUAUAAGACUUGGAUAACUUCGGGAAACCUUAGCUAAUACCGGAUAAUAUAUUGAACCUCAUGGUUCAAUAGUUAAUUACGGUUUUUCUGUCACUUAUAGAUGGAUCCGCGCCGCAUUAGCUAGUUGUUAAGUUAACGGCUUACCAAGGCGACGAUGCGUAGCCGACCUGAGAGGGGGAUAGGCCACACUGGAACUGAGACACGAACCAGACUCCUACGGGAGGCAGAAGAAGGGAAUCUUCCGCAAUGGGCGAAAGCAUAACGGAGCAACGCCACGUGAGUGAUGAAGGUCUUCGGAUCGUAAAACUCUGUUAUUAGGGAAGAACAAAUGUGUAAGUAACUAUGCACGUAUUGACGGUACCUAAUCAGAAAGCCACGGCUAACUACGUG
rnacentral:rRNA from 1 species